rnacentral:rRNA from 1 species
CAGCCGCCGCGGUAAUACGGAGGGGGCUAGCGUUGUUCGGAAUUACUGGGCGUAAAGCGCACGUAGGCGGCUUGGUAAGUUAGAGGUGAAAGCCCAGGGCUCAACCCUGGAAUUGCCUUUAAGACUGCCGAGCUAGUAGGUGAGAGAGGUGAGUGGAAUUCCGAGUGUAGAGGUGAAAUUCGUAGAUAUUCGGAAGAACACCAGUGGCGAAGGCGGCUAACUGGUCCAUAACUGACGCUGAGGUGCGAAAGCGUGGGGAGCAAACAGGAUUAGAUACCCCCGUAGUCCCUGUCUCUUAUAC